rnacentral:tRNA from 1 species
GGCAUGGUGGCUCAGUGGUUACAGCGCCCGCCUCAUGAACAGGAGGUCGUGAGUUCGAACCCCGGCCGAGUCA